UGGAGCACAGGGUUCUGUUUUUCAGAACUACUGGUACCUGUUGGAUUUCUUCAUGUUCCUGUUCUGUGUUUUUGCUUGGUCUUUCCAACAACUCUUUUGGUCAAGGGGUUUUUAUCGGGUUGACCCUGAUGGUCCUGUUGAACUGAUCUUGGUGAGUUUCCCCUGCAUCAGAGUUGUUCCUUGUGGUAACCAUUUUGCAGAAAAAAGUCGAACUGGGCAGAAAAAGUCGAACUAGGGAGAAAGUCGAACUGGAGGGAAAAAGUCGAUCACAAGGAAAAAGUCGAUCUCGAGAGCUGAGACUUGGCUUCCGAGAAGCUUUUCUGGCACCUGAUCUCUCGAAAAAAGUUAUCUUGAAAUCACAGAUGACGCAAACUGAUGAGGGUGGGCCCGGACAUGGUCAGUACGGGUCUGGGUCCAGAUUAUCCAGUCCCGGACCCGGCUAUUAUACAUGUAUUAUUCUCAAAAUGAAACAGAAUAAAAGAUGGACUAAAUAUUAGAUUAAAAAAUGAGAAGACUAUUACCUUAAUUUCCUUUUUU
rnacentral:lncRNA from 1 species